ACCCUCUGGAGAACUCUUUGAUGAGUGCCGACGGUGCAAAGCAAAAGCUAUCACAGUAUUUGCUGAAUCUCUCAGGCAACAGGACAGGGGA
rnacentral:ncRNA from 1 species